GCGCAGCCACAGAGCCACUAUGCUGCAUCGUCUGUUAAAAAAGUUAAAGUACCUCUUAGCCUUAGGAACUGCAGUUACGUUUUGUUACAUUUUGCCUCAUGCACGAUUUAUUGCGAUGGAGAGCUAUAUUCCUGAUUGAAAUAGUGGGAAUCCGUAUCGAGGAGGUCAGCUUUGAUUUGGUGUUUGCAUAUAUCAGAAAAAAGACCCAUUCCUAGUACGUAAAUAAACUUAGAAGGAUGGGAAACGUGAACACAGGAGUGAAGUUCGCUGCUUUUUAUAAUGAAAAUGUAAAUCUCCAGCCUAGUCCAAAGUUUCUCUCUAUAUUCGCUGCUUUGAUAUAUUUAAAUAAGUCUUAAAAGUUUUAUACCUGGCACACCUAGGUCCCAGUCUUGUACUACAUCCACGUUUUUUUCUCGCGCUUGCUUCAGAUGACGACUGAGACUAUAGGCUGGUAAAUCCCCAAUUCAAAUUAGCCACAACCGAGGCCCUGGGACCGAGGAUGAGCCACAACCUGUUCAGUAUUGUAGUAAUCUGACAGCCCCAAUUGCCACGAAUUAACCCCUGGUCUAAAUGGCCGCUUUUGAAAAUACUGAUCAUGAAGAACCGCACUGCCUUAGGGGCGGACCAUUAGAAAAGUGAUGGGAGGGGGGGGGAACAAAAAUAAAAUUCGAGCAGGGAAAAUAGAAAGAAAAAAAAAUUCGUGCACCAGAAAUGUCUGAAAAAAAAAAAUUCGUGCAGAGACUUUUCAAUGGGGAAAAUUACAGGGCCUAUUGGAGGUACAGUGUAAGGGUGUCCCCGAAAUUUCGAAAAUAAGCAUUUUAAUCGUGUUUUAAGAAGUUUUUUCGGGGGAAAUGUGUUUUAAACCUUAAUUGAAUUGAUGUUAGUCCGAAAAAAAUUUUUUGACCCUAUUUUUCUUUGUCGUGCAAAAAUUUUUGAGUCCGGAAAAAAAAUUUUCACCGCCGCUCGCCAGCAAUUUUUGGGGGAAAAAAUAAAAUUCGAGCAAGGGAUUAUUAAAAAAAAACAAAAAAAAAACGGACACAGCAAAACACUUUGAAAAAAAAAUCGUGCACGUUUAAAAUGGACCACCCCCCUCCCCCCCAUCACUUUUCUAAUGGUCCGCCCCUUAAUUAAAUGCAAACUUUGUGUUUUAAAAACGGGUUAGGAUAAAACGCGGAUACGGACGGACGGAUGAAUGACGGACGGACCGGACGGAUGACAUACAUAUGUCGUUAUAUAGUCUGCGCGCAGCCGUGCAGGGUAGUUAGUGCCUUACGUCUUCGCUGGUUGUUAUACUUUAAAAUAAUUUUGUAUGUACCGAGAAAUCAAUAUUCCGAGUAUAUAAAUAUAUAAACUGGGAUGUCACACUGAUAGCUUGUUUACAUUUCCUGGAGCAACAUGAAAUCUUAUGUUUAACCACGGUGGUUUAACCCAUUAGCUGGCAAUGCGCCCUUCCCUUGUCGAGCGCCAGAAGAUUUACUCGUCAGUGGUAUAGGGUACUGCCAGUAAAUUGGUUAACAAACCUAUCUGCCAAUGGCUCUUGUUAAUUCAUCAGCACAGUAAUGACCCCUACUUUAGUAUUUACCCUGUCCAACGUCAGACGAUUUUUAAUACUCAGUCAGUGGUAGGGUACUGUCAAUAAAUGGGUUAACAAGGAUAACAAUAAUUAGCCUGCAUGGCAGGCGGUAUUUCCCAGGCUUGCCCAAUUUUAGGGACCGCCUGCCAUGCAGGCUAAACAAUAAUAGGAUGUUUCUGAAGGACUCGUUCAACACCCUGUAGUUUGUCUUUUGCUGUCAAAGGCAGCAUUACUGCCCUGUGGGUAACCUAGUAUAAAUUUAGUUAUUUCAUAAGUAGGAGUGUAAAGCGAAUUCAACUUUUACGUGCGUGUACGCACGUAUGAAAAACGCGUAACUGGAAUGCAGCCUUAAGGCUGAUUUCCACUGUUGCGUUUUUCGUACGCACGUACACGCACGUGAAACUUUGAAUCCUUCUAUUUUUUAAAUAUUUUACAAAUAAGUUAACAAAUGCAUACUAAAACUUGCGGAACACUAAAUUCUGUUGCUUUAUUUAUUUGGUUAUUUCAUAAGUAACAUUUAAACGGAUUUAAAGUUUUACGUGCGUAUACGUACGUAUGAAAAACGCAACAGUGGAAAUCAGCCUUUAGUGCCGGUUAAAUUAGGG